UUUCUACCAAAAACACCAUCACAGAAACAUACAGAAUAAUGUUUGACUGUUUGACCAAAUAUCUGGGCUCCCAUAUGCAUCUCCUUAAAUCGUACU